ACGGGAGGCAGCAGUGGGGAAUCUUGCACAAUGGGGGAAACCCUGAUGCAGCGACGCCGCGUGAGCGAUGAAGCCCUUCGGGGUGUAAAGCUCUUUCGGCGGGAACGAUCAUGACGGUACCUGCGGAAGAAGCUGCGGCUAACUACGUGCCAGCAGCCGCGGUAAUACGUAGGCAGCAAGCGUUGUUCGGAGUUACUGGGCGUAAAGAGUGUGUAGGCGGUUUGCUAAGUUCGGUGUGAAAUCUCCCGGCUUAACUGGGAGGGUGCGCCGAAAACUGGUAGGCUAGAGUGCGGGAGAGGGAAGCGGAAUUCCUGGUGUAGCGGUGAAAUGCGUAGAGAUCUGGAGGAACACCGAUGGCGAAGGCAGCCUUCUGGGCCAACACUGACGCUCAUGCACGAAAGCGUGGGGAGCAAACAGGAUUAGAUACCCUGGUAGUCCACGCCCUAAACGAUGAUGACUAGUUGUUGGGGGAGUUAAAUCCCUUAGUAACGUAGCUAACGCGUGAAGUCAUCCGCCUGGGGAGUACGGUCGCAAGAUUAAAACUCAAAGGAAUUGACGGAAGGGC
rnacentral:rRNA from 1 species